rnacentral:rRNA from 1 species
AACUAACGCUGGCGGCGUGCCUAACACAUGCAAGUCGUACGAGAAAGUUGGCUUCGGCCGAUGAGUAAAGUGGCGCACGGGUGAGUAAUGCGUGGAUAAUCUGCCCUUUAGUUGGGAAUAACGUACCGAAAGGUGCGCUAAUACCUGAUAAUACUGCAUAACUACUGUUGUGUAGUCAAAGAAGGCCUCUGUUUACAAGCUUUUGCUGAAGGAUGAGUCCGCGUACCAUUAGCUGGUUGGUGGGGUAAUGGCCUACCAAGGCUACGAUGGUUAGCUGGUCUGAGAGGAUGAUCAGCCACACUGGAACUGAGACACGGUCCAGACUCCUACGGGAGGCAGCAGUGAGGAAUAUUGCGCAAUGGGGGCAACCCUGACGCAGCAACGCCGCGUGAGUGAGGAAGGUUUUCGGACCGUAAAGCUCUGUCGAGCGGGAAGAAAUGUAAUCAUGGCUAAUAUCCAUGAUACUUGACGGUACCGCUAAAGGAAGCACC